rnacentral:rRNA from 1 species
GACGAACGCUGGCGGCGUGCUUAACACAUGCAAGUCGAACGGAAAGGCCCUGCUUUUGUGGGGUGCUCGAGUGGCGAACGGGUGAGUAACACGUGAGUAACCUGCCCUUGACUUUGGGAUAACUUCAGGAAACUGGGGCUAAUACCGGAUAGGAGCUCCUGCUGCAUGGUGGGGGUUGGAAAGUUUCGGCGGUUGGGGAUGGACUCGCGGCUUAUCAGCUUGUUGGUGGGGUAGUGGCUUACCGAGGCUUUGACGGGUAGCCGGCCUGAGAGGGUGACCGGCCACAUUGGGACUGAGAUACGGCGCAGACUCCUACGGGAGGCAGCAGUGGGGAAUAUUGCACAAUGGGCGGAAGCCUGAUGCAGCAACGCCGCGUGCGGGAUGACGUCCUUCGGGUUGUAAACCGCUGUCGCCUGUGACGAAGCGUGAGUGACGGUAAUGGGUAAAGAAGCACCGGCUAACUACGUG